rnacentral:rRNA from 1 species
UUAAGCGACUAAGCGUACACGGUGGAUGCCCUGGCAGUCAGAGCGAUGAAGGACGUGCUAAUCUGCGAUAAGCGUCGGUAAGGUGAUAUGAACCGUUAUAACCGGCGAUUUCCGAAUGGGGGAAACCCAGUGUGUUUUCGACACACUAUCAUUAACUGAAUCCAUAGGUUAAUGAGGCGAACCGGGGGAACUGAAACAUCUAAGUACCCCGAGGAAAAGAAAUCAACCGAGAUUCCCCCAGUAGCGGGCGAGCGAACGGGGAGCAGCCCAGAGCCUGAAUCAGUGUGUGUGUUAGUGGAAGCGUCUUGGAAAGGCGCGCGAUACAGGGUGACAGCCCCGUACACAAAAAUGCACAUGCUGUGAGCUCGAUGAGUAGGGCGGGACACGUGGUAUCCUGUCUGAAUAUGGGGGGACCAUCCUCCAAGGCUAAAUACUCCUGACUGACCGAUAGUGAACCAGUACCGUGAGGGAAAGGCGAAAAGAACCCCGGCGAGGGGAGUGAAAAAGAACCUGAAACCGUGUACGUACAAGCAGUGGAGCACGCUUAGGCGUGUGACUGCGUACCUUUUGUAUAAUGGGUCAGCGACUUAUAUUCUGUAGCAAGGUUAACGAAUAGGGGAGCCGAAGGGAAACCGAGUCUUAACUGGGCGUUAAGUUGCAGGUAUAGACCCGAAACCCGGUGAUCUAGCCAUGGGCAGGUUGAAGGUUGGGUAACACUAACUGGAGGACCGAACCGACUAAUGUUGAAAAAUUAGCGGAUGACUUGUGGCUGGGGGUUGAAAGGCCAAUCAAACCGGGAGAUAGCUGGUUUCUCCCCGAAAGCUAUUUAGGUAGCGCCUCGUGAAUUCAUCUCCGGGGUAGAGCACUGUUUCGGCAAGGGGUCAUCCCGACUUACCAACCCGAUGCAAACUGCGAAUACCGGAGAAUGUUAUCACGGGGAGACACACGGCGGGUGCUAACGUCCGUCGUGAAGAGGGGAAACAACCCAGACCGCCAGCUAAGGUCCCAAAGUCAUGGUUAAGUGGGGAAACGAUGUGGGAAGGCCCAGACAGCCAGGAUGUUGGCUUAGAAGCAGCCAUCAUUUAAAGAAAGCGUAAUAGCUCACUGGUCGAGUCGGCCUGCGCGGAAGAUGUAACGGGGCUAAACCAUGCACCGAAGCUGCGGCAGCGACGCUUAGGCGUUGUUGGGUAGGGGAGCGUUCUGUAAGCCUGCGAAGGUGUGCUGUGAGGUAUGCUGGAGGUAUCAGAAGUGCGAAUGCUGACAUAAGUAACGAUAAAGCGGGUGAAAAGCCCGCUCGCCGGAAGACCAAGGGUUCCUGUCCAACGUUUAAUCGGGGCAGGGUGAGUCGACCCCUAGGCGAGGCCGAAAGGCGUAGUCGAUGGGGAACAGGUUAAUAUUCCUGUACUUGGUGUUACUGCGAAGGGGGACGGAGAAGGCUAUGUUGGCCGGGCGACGGUUGUCCCGGUUUAAGCGUGUAGGCUGGUUUUCCAGGCAAAUCCGGAAAAUCAAGGCUGAGGCUGAUGACGAGGGCACUACGUGCUGAAGCAACAAAUGCCCUGCUUCCAGGAAAAGCCUCUAAGCAUCAGGUAACAUCAAAUCGUACCCCAACCGACACAGGUGGUCAGGUAGAGAAUACCAAGGCGCUUGAGAGAACUCGGGUGAAGGAACUAGGCAAAAUGGUGCCGUAACUCGGGAGAAGGCACGCUGAUAUGUAGGUGAAGUCCCUCGCGGAUGGAGCUGAAAUCAGUCGAAGAUACCAGCUGGCUGCAACUGUUUAUUAAAAACACAGCACUGUGCAAACACGAAAGUGGACGUAUACGGUGUGACGCCUCCCGGUGCCGGAAGGUUAAUUGAUGGGGUCAGCGCAAGCGAAGCUCUUGAUCGAAGCCCCGGUAAACGGCGGCCGUAACUAUAACGGUCCUAAGGUAGCGAAAUUCCUUGUCGGGUAAGUUCCGACCUGCACGAAUGGCGUAAUGAUGGCCAGGCUGUCUCCACCCGAGACUCAGUGAAAUUGAACUCGCUGUGAAGAUGCAGUGUACCCGCGGCAAGACGGAAAGACCCCGUGAACCUUUACUAUAGCUUGACACUGAACAUUGAGCCUUGAUGUGUAGGAUAGUGGGAGGCUUUGAAGUGUGGACGCCAGUCUGCAUGGAGCCGGCCUUGAAAUACCACCCUUUAAUGUUUGAUGUUCUAACGUUGACCCGUGAUCCGGGUUGCGGAACAGUGUUGGUGGGUAGUUUGACUGGGGCGGUCUCCUCCUAAAGAGUAACGGAGGAGCACGAAGGUUGGCUAAUCCUGGUCGGACAUCAGGAGGUUAGUGCAAUGGCAUAAGCCAGCUUGACUGCGAGCGUGACGGCGCGAGCAGGUGCGAAAGCAGGUCAUAGUGAUCCGGUGGUUCUGAAUGAAGGGCCAUCGCUCAACGGAUAAAAGGUACUCCGGGGAUAACAGGCUGAUACCGCCCAAGAGUUCAUAUCGACGGCGGUGUUUGGCACCUCGAUGGUCGGCUCAUCACAUCCUGGGGCUGAAGUAGGUCCCAAGGGUAAUGGCUGUUCGCCAUUUAAAGUGGUACGCGAGCUGGGUUUAGAACUCGUGAGACAGUUCGGUCCCUAUCUGCCGUGGGCGCUGGAGAACUGAGGGGGGCUGCUCCUAGUACGAGAGGACCGGAGUGGACGCAUCACUGGUGUUCGGGUUGUCAUGCCAAUGGCACUGCCCGGUAGCUAAAUGCGGAAGAGAUAAGUGCUGAAAGCAUCUAAGCACGAAACUUGCCCCGAGAUGAGUUCUCCCUGACCCUUUAAGGGUCCUGAAGGAACGUUGAAGACGACGACGUUGAUAGGCCGGGUGUGUAAGCGCAGCGAUGCGUUGAGCUAACCGGUACUAAUGAACCGUGAGGCUUAACCUU